UGGUUGUCGUCAGCUUCGUGUCGUGAGAUUGGUUUGGGUUAAGUCCCGCAACGAGCGCAACCCUAUUGUUAGUUUGCCAUCAUUCAGUUUGGGCACUCUAGCGAGACUGCCGGUAAUAACCGGAGGAAGUGGGAUGACGUCAAAUCAUCAUGCCCCUUAUGACCUGGGCUACACACGUGCUACAAUGGUUGGUACAACGAGUUGCGAGUCGGUGACGGCGAGCUAAUCUCUUAAAGCCAAUCUCAGUUCGGAUUGUAGGCUGCAACUCGCCUACAUGAAGUCGGAAUCGCUAGUAAUCGCGGAUCAGCACGCCGCGGUGAAUACGUUCCCGGGCCUU
rnacentral:rRNA from 1 species